AUUGAACGCUGGCGGCAGGCCUAACACAUGCAAGUCGAGCGGAUGAAGGUAGCUUGCUCCUGGAUUCAGCGGCGGACGGGUGAGUAAUGCCUAGGAAUCUGCCUGGUAGUGGGGGAUAACGUCCGGAAACGGGCGCUAAUACCGCAUACGUCCUGAGGGAGAAAGUGGGGGAUCUUCGGACCUCACGCUAUCAGAUGAGCCUAGGUCGGAUUAGCUAGUUGGUGGGGUAAAGUCCUACCAAGGCGACGAUCCGUAACUGGUCUGAGAGGAUGAUCAGUCACACUGGAACUGAGACAGGGCCCAAACUCCUAGGGGAGGCAGCAGAGGGGAAUAUUGGACAAGGGGCGAAAGCCUGAUCCAGCCAGGCCGAGUGUGUGAAGAAGGUCUUCGGAUUGUAAAGCACUUUAAGUUGGGAGGAAGGGCAGUAAGUUAAUACCUUGCUGUUUUGACGUACCAACAGAAUAAGCACCGGCUAACUUCGUG
rnacentral:rRNA from 1 species